rnacentral:rRNA from 1 species
ACGGGUGAGUAAACGCGUUGGGCAACCUGCCCUAUACAGGGGGAUAGCAGCUGGAAACGGCUGGUAAGACCCGCAUAAGUCCGGUUAAAUCGCAUGAUUUGAUCGGGAAAUGAGCAAUCAGGUAUAGGAUGGGUCCGCGUCCGAUUAGCCAGUUGGCAGGGUAAAAGCCUACCAAAGCGACGAUCGGUAGCCGGACUGAGAGGUCGGACGGCCACAUUGGGACUGAGACACGGCCCAAACUCCUACGGGAGGCAGCAGUGGGGGAUAUUGCACAAUGGAGGAAACUCUGAUGCAGCGACGCCGCGUGAGUGAAGAAGUAUUUCGGUAUGUAAAGCUCUAUCAGCAGGGAAGAUGAUGACGUACCUGCUAAGAGC